UGCCAGACUCCUACGGGAGGCAGCAGUGGGGAAUAUUGCACAAUGGGGGAAACCCUGAUGCAGCGACGCCGCGUGAGUGAAGAAGUAUUUCGGUAUGUAAAGCUCUAUCAGCAGGGAAGAAAAUGACGGUACCUGAUUAAGAAGCCCCGGCUAACUACGUGCCAGCAGCCGCGGUAAUACGUAGGGGGCAAGCGUUAUCCGGAUUUACUGGGUGUAAAGGGAGCGUAGACGGCAGCGCAAGUCUGAAGUGAAAUGGCGGGGCUUAACCCCGGAACUGCUUUGGAAACUGUGCAGCUAGAGUGCAGGAGAGGUAAGUGGAAUUCCUAGUGUAGCGGUGAAAUGCGUAGAUAUUAGGAGGAACACCAGUGGCGAAGGCGGCUUACUGGACUGUAACUGACGUUGAGGCUCGAAAGCGUGGGGAGCAAACAGGAUUAGAUACCCCUGUA
rnacentral:rRNA from 1 species